UCCGGUCUAAUAUGAUAGCUUCUUUCACACUGAUUCCAAAAAUAUAUAGUUUCUAUAUACUUUUGUAUUUAGAAUGGGAGAUACAUGGUCACUUCCGGUUUGUUGGAAGUCAUUUUUAGUCUUCAGUAAUCAGUUUAUGUAUCUAUAUGACAAAAUAUAUGGAUUCUGAGUACUUUUAUACGAAAAAAUUGCAAAAAAGGUUACUUCCGGUUUUAUCAAGGUCACUUCCGGUAGUCAUUUUUCAAGGUCAUUUGUCAUCCAACCUUUUGCACAAGGUCAAAUGCCAUUAAAAUGGACUUAGUUGAAGUUAUAAUCAAAUAACCUCAUAUCAAGACAUUUCAGGGGCACUAACUCCUAUUAGAUGCUAUUUAAUUGUAUCAGACCAAAUGUAACAUAUCUUCAUAACUAUAUAGCAAUCAUUUUGCACUUGUUCUUUAAUAUGUACCUUUUCAAGGGUUGGAGAAAAUGCAAAAACAUGGAAAAUUCCGAAUUUAGAACUUGACCUUGACCUUUGACCUUGACCCCAUUUUCUAAUAAAGGGCCCAGGGAUCUCAAAUAAAUACAUUCCAGGGUUAUACGGUUGACGGUUUAUUAGUUAAUAACACAUAUAGAGAAAAUAAUUUUGUAAAGGUAGAUAACUCCUAUAAAAUUUCAUCGAAUCGCUUCGAUCCAAAUAAGCCAAAUUUUCCUUAGGAUGUAACGAACAAUUUGUAAAAAGAAUUUUGUCGCUAUCUUUUUUUGUUACGAAGGAGAUGCACUCUGAUGAUAAACAGUGAAUAGGGAGAUAACUCUUACAAAGAAAAGUGUUCGGCCUAGCAGGGUUAAAUGUAAAAGCGCAUAAACUGUACGAUACAAUAUGAAAAAUAUCUAAGCGACAUAUUGAGAAACAAACAUUUGUCGCAAUAUCAAAAUUAGGCGGAAGAAAAAAAAAAAAAAAAAAUAAUAAAUAUAAAGCAAUUGUUUUGAAAACAAUUGUUAGGCAGUCUUUCCCCUCUGAUGAAUGGAUAAUUGAUUUUUUUUUAUGAUUGAUUUGGAAAAAGGGGGGGGGGGGGGUAUUUGUUUUAUUUGUUGUUUGUUUGCUUUGGUAUGGGGUCUAUAUUAUUAUGUUACCGGAGAAGUGUCAUGUUUAGUUUGGAAAGUUUUUCUUUUAUUUUAGAUACAGCGCGCGCGCAAGAUUGAGGAGACAUCACGUGACGCGGGUUUAUAUUAAGAAAAACUUAGUCUUUUAAUUUCUUUUUAGGUCGGGACCUUGAACAGACAACAAGUCUAGAGAUGGAAUGUACACAAUGUAAUUUCUUUUGUCAUUGUAGGAAAUUGACAUUUUGAUCA
rnacentral:lncRNA from 1 species